AGGUCUGGCCUGCCMAUGAGAUGUUUAAUGGCUGCGGUAUUUUGACCGUGCAAAGGUAGCAUAAUCAUUAGUUUUUUAAUUGAAAGCUUGGAUGAAAGGUUUGAUGGAAAAAUAUCUGUCUCUAUUAAAGUUGAUUAGAAUUUUAUUUUUAAGUUAAAAAGCUUAGAUUAGUAUAGAAGACGAGAAGACCCUAUAGAGUUUUAUAUCUAGAGAAGAUAAAGGUUUUAAGUGUAUAAAAUUUCUAUUUUGAAAAGAUAUUUUGUUGGGGUGACAGAAAAACUAGUUUAACUUUUUUUUUARAAAAACAUGAAUUACUGGGUUUUUGAUCCUUAUUUAAAGAUUAUAARAAAAAACUACCUUAGGGAUAACAGCGUAAUUUUUUUUARAGUUCUUAUCGAAUAAAAAGAUUGCGACCUCGAUGUUGGAUUAAAAUAAAUUACUGGUGUAGUAGCUAGAUGAUUGGGUCUGUUCGACCUUUAAAAUUUUACAUGAUCUGAGUUUAAACCGGUGUGAGCCAGGUCGGUUUC
rnacentral:rRNA from 1 species